rnacentral:misc_RNA from 1 species
GAUGAAGAACGUAGCGAAAUGCGAUACUUGGUGUGAAUUGCAGAAUCCCGUGAACCAUCGAGUCUUUGAACGCAAGUUGCGCCUCAAGCCACUAGGUUGAGGGCACGUCUGCCUGGGCGUCACAUAUCGUUGCCUGAUGCCAGUUUCCUCGUGAUGGGUGACUGUGCAGGGCGAAUGAUGGCUUCCCGUGAGCAUUGUUGCCUCAUGGUUGGUUGAAAAUUGAGUCCUUGGUAGGGAGCGCCGUGAUAGAUGGUGGUUGAGUGACAAACGAGACCCAAUCAUGUGAGACCCCUACCGAAUUUGGCCUUCAUGACCCACAUGCGUCUUUGGAACGCUCAUGACGAGACCUCAGGUCAGGCGGGGCUACCCGCUGAGUUUAAGCAUAUCAAUAAGCGGAGGA